rnacentral:lncRNA from 1 species
UUUUGGGAUUUUGGGAGGGAUUUGGGGGAUUUUUUUUGUGGGAAUUUUGGGUUUUUUGGGAGGGAUUUGGGGGAUUUUUGGGCAGAAUUUUGGGGUUUUUUGGGAGGGAUUUUGGGGAUUUUUGGGACAGAAUUUUGGGGAUUUUUGGGAGGGAUUUGGGGGAUUUUUGGGGCAGAAUUUUGGGUUUUUUUGGAAGGGAUUUCGGGGUUUUUUGGGGAGGAAUUUUGGGAUUUUUUUGGGAGGGAUUUUGGGGAUUUUUGGAGCAGAAUUUUGGGGCUUUUUGGAAGGGAUUUUGGGUGGAAUUUUUUGGAUUUUGGGGUGGGAUUUGGGGGAUUUUUGUUGUGGGAAUUUUGGGGUUUUUUGGGUGGGAUUUGGGGUUUUUUUGGAAGGGAUUUUGGGGAUUUUUUGGCAGAAUUUUGGGUUUUUUUGGAAGGGAUUUUGGGGUUUUUUGGGAGGGAUUUUGGGUGGAAUUUUUGGGAUUUUGGGAGGGAUUUGGGGGAUUUUUUUUGUGGGAAUUUUGGGUUUUUUGGGAGGGAUUUGGGAAUUUUUUGGGGAGAAUUUUGGGGUUUUUUGGGGAGGGAUUUGGGAUUUUUUUUGUGGGAAUUUUGGGGUUUUUUGGGAGGGAUUUUGGGAUUUUUGGGCAGAAUUUUGGGGUUUUUGGGAGGGAUUUUGGGGAUUUUUGGGGCAGAAUUUUGGGAUUUUUUUGGGAGGGAUUUUGGGGAUUUUUGGGCAGAAUUUUGGGAAUUUUGGGAGGGAUUUUGGGGAUUUUUGUUGUGGGAAUUUUGGGGUUUUUUGGAAGGGAUUUUGGGGAUUUUUGGGGCAGAAUUUUGGGGUUUUUUGGCUGGGAUUUGGGAUUUUUUUGGGAAGGAUUUUGGGGAUUUUUGGAAGGGAUUUUGGGUUUUUUUGGGGAGGGAUUUUGGGGGAUUUUGGGGUUUUUUGGGGCAGAAUUUUGGGGGUUUUGGGUGGGAUUUGGGAUUUUUUUGGAAGGGAUUUUGGGGAUUUUUGGGGCAGAAUUUUGGGCAUUUUGGGGUGGGAUUUUUGGGAUUUUGGGAAUUAUUUGGAAGGGAUUUGGGGGAUUUUGGGGCAGAAUUUUGGGGUUUUUUGUGGGAAUUUUGGGGAUUUUUGGAGCAGAAUUUUGGGGUUUUUUGGAAGGGAUUUUGGGGAUUUUUGGGGCAGAAUUUUGGGUUUUUUUGGGAGGAAUUUGGGGGAUUUUUGGGUGGGAUUUUGGGGAUUUUUGGGACAGAACUUUGGGGUUUUUUGGGUGGGAUUUUAGUUGAAAUUUUUGAGAUUUUGGGGUUUUUUUUUUGGGUACCAUUUAUCCCUUUUUCAAUCCUUU